rnacentral:rRNA from 1 species
UACGGAGGGUGCAAACGUUAUCCGGAAUCACUGGGCGUAAAGCGCGUGUAGGUGGUUUUGUAAGUGGACGAUUAAAUACCGAUGCUUAACAUCGGGAAUGUUGUCUAUACUGCAAGACUUGAGAAUGGUAGGGGCAGGCGGAACUUUGGGUGUAGGGGUGAAAUCCGUAGAUAUCCAAAGGAACACCAAUGGCGAAGGCAGCUUGCUGGACCAUUUCUGACACUGAGACGCGAAAGCGUGGGGAGCAAACGGG